ACUUAAAUAGUUUAAUUAAAAUUUUAAUUUGUGGAGUUAAAGAUAACGCUUUGUUUUUAGGUA
rnacentral:tRNA from 1 species